rnacentral:lncRNA from 10 species
CUGCGAUGCCCUCAUUAGAGAGGUCUUCCUUUCUUCCUUACAUGUUCAUUUUUAUUGGAGGGUGCCGCCUUUGCGUCGCCCCCUCCAGCCCCGCUGAAUUCGCACCCUAUUUAACUCCUUGGUCCCUAAGAAGCAAAGGUCUCACCCCUACACUCAUCUUCCCGGCCUAGCACGGUGCUGGGACUCAGGAGGCCCUUGAUACAUUCUUAGGCAUCCGCUAGGAGAAGGUGAACGCCUGCCAGAAACAUCUGCAGGAAACGACCUUGGCUUCCUGCCCCCAACCCCAGACCAACUGUGACCAGGAGGGCCCCAGUCGCAGCCUUCAUGCCCUCGCUUAUUAACUAAGCUUCCCUAAGAGAGGAAUUCGAUUAUGCAGAACUGAUUGCUCUCCAGGGUCUAAGCUGUGUUUCCCCUGCUGCCAGAUGGCUUGGGGCCCACUGGUUUGAAGGGUAGUAAUGAUAGCUAUCAGCAGUUAAGGAACACACACCCUGCAUUUGGCCUGGACUAAAUCCUUUCUAUGCCCUACCUCAUUUAAUCCUCUCAGGUGGUACUAGCACUAUCUGUUCUGUGCAUACUUGGAAAAAGGUCAGAGAGGUUGAGUGACUUGCCUGGGGUCGCACAGGGGAGCCAGGUUCUAGCCUAAUUUCUUCUCUGCUGUGCU